CGAAAUAGGUGCCCAUGAUCCACGUCCACAUGGUGUUUUUCGAGCUGUCUCAAGCUGGGGGAGAUAUGUGCCCUAUCUGCUGACGCAAGGUGUCAACUCUGCUAAAUUACUGAUUGCUAAAAUCCAAGGUGCUAUGUGAUUCUUUAAAGGCAACACAACUUUGUCUUGUUGUCAGUGAGAUUUUUUUUCAGAUUUAUAUUAUUUUUCUUUGGAUUGGUGAAGUUUUUUAAAGUUUUACAAUGUAUUUGAUGCAAACAUAACACUGUCAAAAUCUUGGUUUUCAUUCAAAGGAAAGAUGUGCCUGGGGUACUUUGUU
rnacentral:lncRNA from 1 species